AGUGCAUAUUAUAAAUUAUGUUUUAUAGUGUUUAAUUAAAAUAUAGCAAGUUGAACAACUUUUCCUGUCUGCUGAUGUAAUGUAGGCCGUGUAGGUGGGGACAAAUGCUAGUAGCCAGUAGUCUUUCUUACCACUGCAUUUCUGAUAUUCCUCACUCUUGUCUUCCUCUCUUUCUUCCUCUGUAUAUUUCUGCUGGCUGUCUCUGUCUCCACCAUUUCUGGUGCCCUCUGCUGUCUGGCUUUUGUAAAACCAGCCUCCAGAAGACAAAAGCUGGGUAUAUUCUCCUCUGCACUUCAGCUCAGGGCCUAAAACCCUGCCAGAGGAUGAAGGGGAGAGUGAAACAUAAUCAGACCUCAGGAAAGAGGGGCAGCUACAAAGGUUCGGACUCUUCAGAUGUCCGGAAGCUGUACUGGUCGGACUUUUCGCAACUUAAGCAUCAUUUUCAUCGUCCUUUCACCCAUUCCAUAAACAACACCAAGCAAGUAGUAAUACCAAUGUCCAGACUUAUUUAUGAGUAAUAAUGAAAAUAUUUAUGUUUAAUUAUUUUUUGAUUGUUUUGUGUUUCAUUUAUUGUCUAAUUUACAUACUGUGAACGUAUUUUCCGAUUUGAGCUCUGGGACUCAAGACUUUUCCCAAGAGUGGGUUGUAGGUUAUUAUUUAAAAAAAAAAUUUUUUAGGGGAUUCUUUUUAGUUGUUAAUGCGCCUUGGUUAUCAGGUAGCAUUGUUUGUUUCGUAACUUUUGAAAAAUUUAAGUUCUGUCGCAGACCUUAGAUAUACCCAAACAUGGUUUGCUUUAUUUUUAUUGGUUCUUCAAAAAUAUAUUAAGCCAGCAAUAGUGUUCAGUGUUUCAGAGUUAUGAAUUUCCAAGAAGUGGCUGUUUGAUGUGUGAAAUUUGGCAAUAACCAAAGUCUCAAAAUGUUCUCUUUUUUAAUUUAAUUUUAAUGUAAAAAUUAGGACUGAUAACGGAUGCUGGAUGUUAUAGAAAAUGACAUUUUCCGCAUCACCUGAUCUUUAUAUUCUUGUUUUGGCUUAUUUUUAUACAUUCUGGUCAUUUCAAUUUGUUCCACAGAUUUUCCCGCCAAAAUCCAGUACAAAGUCAUCAGGGCCUGGUUAUUAAGACAUGUUAAACUGAAAGAUGGGACCAAACUUAUGUGGGAGGCCAAAUAUGUAAAACAACUUGUUACCAUAAUCGCAAUCAGAAAUAUUUAAGUUAAAACAUUAAUUUGUAAAUCCACAUGUAUAGAAUUUGUGUGUGUGCCUAUGCAUUGAGCGUGUUUGUGGUUUUGAGUAACCGAGUGUCUCAUUUUACAAUGGAAGUGUGCAACACUGAUUCUUAUAAUGUGCAGUGGCCAGCUGUUAUUGAUAUUGCUGUUGUAUCCAAAAUAAAAGGACUACUGCAGCAAUACAUAUGUAAAGUGUAGCACACACAUAUUUUGGUUGCCUUAAUUAGUUUUUGCCAACCUAAUCCUAUUGUAGUUAUAAACUACCGUAUUCACUGAUUCAGUCUUUCUGGUUCACCAAUGAUAGUGUCUUAGAGAAUUUGUAUAUAGCUCUUUAAAUACAUAUAAAAUCUAUUUUAAAUGUUAUUUGAAGUUUUCUUUUGUAUUUCAUUUUUCACAAGUGGCUUGUGAAAGGUGUCCUAUAGGUCCACACAAACCCAACCAUUCUUCCAGCGUCGAGGACGUUUUCUUGUGUUUGAGUCUGUUUCUUUGUAUCAUAUGUGUACACUUUACAGUUGGGAUUGUAAAGUCUGUACGGUCAAAGACAAUACAACUGUAUCAAUCACUUACUCUGCCAACAGUUGAGCUGUUUGUGUGUGUACGCAUGUAUGUGUGUGUGGUCAAAAAGGUGUGUGCACCCCUAAAUAGCAAAAGAGCAUGAUGAAAUGUGAGUCUAUUGACAUUGAUGUACAGCAUAUACAUUUAUCUCUUUGAAAAGACCACGACCAAUGGACCGAUGUGUGUACAUUUGUUCAGAUCCUUAAAUAAAUACAACUGGUGGACUUGAUUCACAAGAUUUUUGUUUUAUUUUAUUUUUUGUUCUUGUACCAUUUUUUCCAAAAAAAUCUCACAAAUUCAACAGAUAUACAUCACAAAUUAAAUGUAACCAUGAGAUUUGGUUUUGAUGUUAUAAAAUUUGAAAACUACUUAUUUUGAAUUUGAUGCUAGCAAACUAUGCUUUAUCACAGUAGCUGUUUUGUGCAUGAUUAUACAUUAUUUCAUAAACAUCAUGAAGUGAAUUAAAUGUUACCUUGUACUUGACAGGCUGCAGUGGCAAAACCUCUGGGACUUUUUGUUUUAUCACUCCACUUGUCCGUGUUUGCACAGUCCAGUCUUCAUAUUAACAAGAACUAUUACUAAGGUUUAACAAAAAUUUUUUGUUCGAUGAAUUUCCGCAGACAAAGUCCAAUAAAUUUUAAUAAGAUUCCAUGCAAUUUCAUACCAGGAUGAAAAAUUUCCCCAAGAAGAUUUUGCAACAGGUUCAAGGUUAACAACUUUCAUGGACCCAAUUGGAUUCAACAGAAUAAAAAUAAAAAUGUUUUUUAAAAACACUACAAAACCAAUUAAAACAGCAAACCUUAAAAUUUAAUGUCUC
rnacentral:lncRNA from 1 species